AGGAGAUGGUAUGACUUAGAAGAAGACAAGAAUAACUUUGUGACAUAAAUCCUUGAGGUGAAGAAAUGAAACCCUUGGCUUCAGCUGAAGGCACCGAGAACAGUUUAUUUCUGAUUUUAACAUCAGUAGUGCCUUAUGGUGGGAAGUAUUUAAAUGCUGCCCAUCACUGAGGAAGAGUGGCUGUGAGAUGAACAGAUCCCUUCGCGGUUGUCCUGAAUUUCUGAAUCUGUAAUGUCUCAGAAGACUCAUUAUUAAUACCCCAAAAUAGGGAACUUAAAAUGUAAAGUCAUCCUCAAUGCAUUGUGCAGAAAAUGAGUGCAUUAACCUCUGCUCUGGAUCAUGCUGCUGUCACAGCACCGUGCCCCUGCUCACAAACAGGAUGUCACCUCCCUGUC
rnacentral:lncRNA from 1 species